GGAAUGUCUUCUCGGGUGCGGGAUAAAGGGGCAUCUGUUCGGUUCACAAGUCAAAAUGAAUUGGACAGCUAAGCGAAUUGGUGACAAACAAUUGUACAAAUUGACUUUCGCAGGAUCCAAAUUGACAAGUUCCCUCCAGAUGUUUCCAGCAAUAAGAAUCAGCAUAUUGUGCUCAGCCUCGGAGGCCUCGCUAUUGAAGAGUUGUAGCAAUAAUACAGAUAAUUAAUCUUUGGCGUCAGCAUCAGCGGAAUCUAAUCAGUUCUAUGCGAAGUUCUUCUUUUGCCGUCACUUACAGCGUUCGGCUCAGUAAUGAUUUUCAGGCACCGAGAAGAUUUGCUGCGUAUCCUGUAUAACCAACUAAGAAGCAGUGGAAGAGUCUGGACUGCGGCCAGAGGG